rnacentral:misc_RNA from 1 species
GAUGAAGAACGUAGCGAAAUGCGAUAAGUAAUGUGAAUUGCAGAAUUCAGUGAAUCAUCGAAUCUUUGAACGCACAUUGCGCCCCCUGGUAUUCCGGGGGGCAUGCCUGUUCGAGCGUCAUUACAACCCUCAAGCUCUGCUUGGUAUUGGGCCCCGCCAGUUCUGGCGGGCCCUAAAGUCAGUGGCGGUGCCUUCCGGCUCCGAGCGUAGUAAUUCUUCUCGCUCUGGAGACCCGGUUGUGUGCUUGCCAACAACCCCCAAUUUUUUAAGGCUGACCUCGGAUCAGGUAGGGAUACCCGCUGAACUUAAGCAUAUCAAUAAGCGGAGGA